GACGGACGCUGGCGGCGUGCUUAACACAUGCAAGUCGAACGGAAAGGCCCUGCUUUUGUGGGGUGCUCGAGUGGCGAACGGGUGAGUAACACGUGAGUAACCUGCCCUUGACUUUGGGAUAACUUCAGGAAACUGGGGCUAAUACCGGAUAGGAGCUCCUGCUGCAUGGUGGGGGUUGGAAAGUUUCGGCGGUUGGGGAUGGACUCGCGGCUUAUCAGCUUGUUGGUGGGGUAGUGGCCUACCAAGGCUUUGACGGGUAGCCGGCCUGAGAGGGUGACCGGCCACAUUGGGACUGAGAUACGGCCCAGACUCCUACGGGAGGCAGCAGUGGGGAAUAUUGCACAAUGGGCGGAAGCCUGAUGCAGCAACGCCGCGUGCGGGAUGACGGCCUUCGGGUUGUAAACCGCUUUCGCCUGUGACGAAGCGUGAGUGACGGUAAUGGGUAAAGAAGCACCGGCUAACUACGUG
rnacentral:rRNA from 1 species